GAUGAGCGCUGGCGGCGUGCCUAAUACAUGCAAGUCGAGCGAACGGACGAGAAGCUUGCUUCUCUGAUGUUAGCGGCGGACGGAUGAGUAACACGUGGAUAACCUACCUAUAAGACUGGGAUAACUUCGGGAAACCGGAGCUAAUACCGGAUAAUAUUUUGAACCGCAUGGUUCAAAAGUGAAAGACGGUCUUGCUGUCACUUAUAGAUGGAUCCGCGCUGCAUUAGCUAGUUGGUAAGGUAACGGCUUACCAAGGCAACGAUGCAUAGCCGACCUGAGAGGGUGAUCGGCCACACUGGAACUGAGACACGGUCCAGACUCCUACGGGAGGCAGCAGUAGGGAAUCUUCCGCAAUGGGCGAAAGCCUGACGGAGCAACGCCGCGUGAGUGAUGAAGGUCUUCGGAUCGUAAAACUCUGUUAUUAGGGAAGAACAUAUGUGUAAGUAACUGUGCACAUCUUGACGGUACCUAAUCAGAAAGCCACGGCUAACUACGUG
rnacentral:rRNA from 1 species